GACGAACGCUGGCGGCGUGCUUAACACAUGCAAGUCGAACGGAAAGGCCCUGCUUUUGUGGGGUGCUCGAGUGGCGAACGGGUGAGUAACACGUGAGUAACCUGCCCUUGACUUUGGGAUAACUUCAGGAAACUGGGGCUAAUACCGGAUAGGAGCUCCUGCUGCAUGGUGGGGGUUGGAAAGUUUCGGCGGUUGGGUAUGGACUCGCGGCUUAUCCGCUUGUUGGUGGGGUAGUGGCUUACCAAGGCUUUGACGGGUAGCCGGCCUGAGAGGGUGACCGGUAACAUUGGGACUGAGAUACGGCCCAGAAUCAUACGGGAGGCAGCAGUGGGGAAUAUUGCACAAAGGGCGGAAGCCUGACGCAGCAACGCAGCGUGCGGGAUGACAGCCUUCGGGUUGUAAACCGCUUUCGCCUGUGACGAAGCGUGAGUGACGAUAAAGGGUAACGGAGCACCGGCGGACUACGU
rnacentral:rRNA from 1 species